AGUAAAAUUAGAGUAUUAAUUUUGAAGUACCGAAAAGAGCAGUUUAGACAGUUUCCUACAGUAACUAUCCGUAAAUCAAUUUCAAAUGGUUCCAUGCCAAACAACAUCAUCAAAUAUCAGUCCAUCUUCAAUCAAUUCCAUACCUGGUGAUGACAAUGAACACCAAUCCAUAAGCACUUAUGAAGCUUCUCAAAGCAUUCAAGACAAUCAUCACAGACAACGGACACCACGUAAUGACUUGCGCAUCACUCCAUGGUGAAACUUUAUAUCAACCCUCAUUUGCAUAUCGUGUUUUAAUAAUAAUAAAGUAUUAAUUAAAAAAAGAUGUUAUUCAAACAACUAGUUCUCCAUUUCAUUCUACAAAAUGCAAUGUCCUCUUUUCCAAAAAAAUUUAGAAAAAAACCAAUUCCUUCUUUUUCACAGCACCACUCGUCAAUUGAUGUCACAAUAUGGUAGCCUCCAGACACCACACCACAGGUAUGUUUCCUUUUUGGUUCUUCACAUCGGGAUUGUAAUCAGAUUUUCCAGUAUAGGAAAAUGCAAUCUUAGAUCAUAUCAUAACUCUGAGAGGACUACAAAUUCAUACAGUAUGUGAAGAAGUGUUUUAAUUCCUUCUGACAUUAUCAAU
rnacentral:lncRNA from 1 species